rnacentral:rRNA from 1 species
AUUGAACGCUGGCGGCAGGCCUAACACAUGCAAGUCGAACGGCAGCAGAGUACUUGCUUCUUGAUACGGCGGCGGAGGGGUGAGUAGUGCCUAGAAAUCUCCGUAUCAGUUGGUGCGAACGUCCGAAAACGGGCGCUCAUACCCCAUACGUCCUUACGGCCUACGUGGGGAAUCAUCGGACCUCCCGCUCUCACACGAUCCAAGGUCGGAUUAGCUAGUUGGCGGGGUAAAGGCCUACCAAGGCGACGAUCCGUAGCUGGUCUGAGAGGAUGAUCAGUCACACUGGAACUGAGACACGGUCCAGACUCCUACGGGAGGCAGCAGUGGGGAAUAUUGGACAAUGGGCGAAAGCCUGAUCCAGCCAUGCCGCGUGGGUGAAGAAGGCCUUCGGGUUGUAAAGCACUUUAAGUGGGAAAGAAAAGCAGCAGGUUAAUACCCCGCUGUUUUGACGUUACCCAAAGAAUAAGCACCGGCUAACUUCGUG